AACGAACGCUGGCGGCAUGCCUAACACAUGCAAGUCGAACGAGACCUUCGGGUCUAGUGGCGCACGGGUGCGUAACGCGUGGGAACCUGCCCUUAGGUUCGGAAUAACUCCCCGAAAGGGGUGCUAAUACCGGAUAAUGUCUUCGGACCAAAGAUUUAUCGCGUUUGGAUGGGCCCGCGUUGGAUUAGCUAGUUGGUAGGGUAAAAGCCUACCAAGGCGACGAUCCAUAGCUGGUCUGAGAGGAUGAUCAGCCACACUGGGACUGAGACACGGCCCAGACUCCUACGGGAAGCAGCAGUGGGGAAUAUUGGACAAUGGGGGAAAGCCUGAUCCAGCAAUGCCGCGUGAGUGAUGAAGGCCUUAGGGUUGUAAAGCUCUUUUACCCGGGAUGAUAAUGACAGUACCGGGAGAAUAAGCUCCGGCUAACUCCGUG
rnacentral:rRNA from 1 species